AUACUUACCUGGCAGGGGAGAUACCAUGAUCACGAAGGUGGUUUUCCCAGGGCGAGGCUUAUCCAUUGCACUCCGGAUGUGCUGACCCCUGUGAUUUCCCCAAAUGUGGGAAACUUGACUGCAUAAUUGUGGUACUGGGGGACUGCGUUCACGCUUUCCCCUG
rnacentral:snRNA from 1 species